GUACACAAAAAUGCACAUACUGUGAGCUCGAUGAGUAGGGCGGGACACGUGGUAUCCUGUCUGAAUAUGGGGGGACCAUCCUCCAAGGCUAAAUACUCCUGACUGACCGAUAGUGAACCAGUACCGUGAGGGAAAGGCGAAAAGAACCCCGGCGAGGGGAGUGAAAAAGAACCUGAAACCGUGUACGUACAAGCAGUGGGAGCACGCUUAGGCGUGUGACUGCGUACCUUUUGUAUAAUGGGUCAGCGACUUAUAUUCUGUAGCAAGGUUAACCGAAUAGGGGAGCCGAAGGGAAACCGAGUCUUAACUGGGCGUUAAGUUGCAGGGUAUAGACCCGAAACCCGGUGAUCUAGCCAUGGGCAGGUUGAAGGUUGGGUAACACUAACUGGAGGACCGAACCGACUAAUGUUGAAAAAUUAGCGGAUGACUUGUGGCUGGGGGUGAAAGGCCAAUCAAACCGGGAGAUAGCUGGUUCUCCCCGAAAGCUAUUUAGGUAGCGCCUCGUGAAUUCAUCUCCGGGGGUAGAGCACUGUUUCGGCAAGGGGGUCAUCCCGACUUACCAACCCGAUGCAAACUGCGAAUACCGGAGAAUGUUAUCACGGGAGACACACGGCGGGUGCUAACGUCCGUCGUGAAGAGGGAAACAACCCAGACCGCCAGCUAAGGUCCCAAAGUCAUGGUUAAGUGGGAAACGAUGUGGGAAGGCCCAGACAGCCAGGAUGUUGGCUUAGAAGCAGCCAUCAUUUAAAGAAAGCGUAAUAGCUCACUGGUCGAGUCGGCCUGCGCGGAAGAUGUAACGGGGCUAAACCAUG
rnacentral:rRNA from 1 species